rnacentral:rRNA from 1 species
GUCUUAUUGAUAAUAAUUUUAAGUCGAUCUGCCCAAUGAAAGUUGUUGAAUGGCUGCAGUAUAACUGACUGUACAAAGGUAGCAUAAUCAAUUGGUUUUUAAAUGAAAUCUGGAAUGAAAGGAUUAAUGAAAUGUAUACUGUCUCAUAUGUAUAACAUGAAUUUAAAAUUUUAAUCAAAAUGUUAAAAUUUUUUUAUGGGACGAUAAGACCCUAUAGAAUUUUAUAUCAUCGCAAUUUAAUAGUUAACAUAAAAUUUGUAGUGAUAUUUGGUUGGGAGGACUAUUAAAUUUAACGAACUUUAAUUUUUGUAAACUUUAAUUAAAGAGAUCUACAAAUGACCUUUAAGUUAAAAUAUAUAGACUAAAUUACCUUAGGGAUAACAGCGUUAUACUUUUUUAUAGGCCACAUAGAAAAAAGUGAUUGCGACCUCGAUGUUGAAUUAAGAUAAAUUUUGAACGCAGGAGUUUAAUAAUUAAGUCUGUUCGACUUUUAAAAUCUUACAUGAUUUGAGUUCAAAUCGACGUAAGU